rnacentral:lncRNA from 1 species
CCGGAGAGUAAGGGCUGCCCGGGCCGAGGACUGGAAGGGCCCAACAAUGGGUAGUGACUGCCGAAGGAUGUGGCCUUUUCGGGGUGGGGGGGACGAAAGUACCCUAAAAUGGAUUGUGGGAGUGGUUGUAAAGUGUAAAAUGUGCCCAAACUGUUGAGCAGUGGACUUUCUCACUCGCCAGCCAGGGGCCCCGCCCCGAGCCCCUCCCCAGCCUCAGGAGCGGGAAUCCACCUCAGUGGAGCUGUUGCCGGGGGCUGCUGUCCCACACAGUCCCCAAAACCCCGCUGCGCUGGCCCUGGCUCCCCUUCCCCAGUGUAGCACCCCUGGCAAUGGGGGUCCCUGGUUUGAUCCCCAGCACCACACACAGGCAAAAGCAGUGUAUCUGUUCUGCUCCCCACCUUAUAAGAAACGGUCCCUUUUUAUGCAUUUCCUUCUCCAGUUGCUGUUUUGAAUGGUUUAUAAUGCAGGUACCUUGUGAGCUGAGUAGUGAACAGCUGCGUCCCUUUGCCCCGAGUGACUGGUAUCAGCCUUGACACCUCAUUUGCUUCGUCUCAACACUCCUGAACCCACACCCCGUUCUUUUUCCUUUUUUCCUGAACUAUGUAUUUGACAGUUGUGGUCAUCAGGAUAGUUGGCCUCGGAAAACUUGAGCAGGGGUCUCCUAAGAACGGGCACCAGCCUGCAUUGGUGCAGUGUAACUCACAGUCAGGAACUUGGCGAGAGCCAAGACUCACUGCUACUGGACAGACAGCCCAUUUUCGGGUCUGCCCAUUUGUCAGGGACACCCUUCAUAGCCAGUUCCACCUAGGAUCACACUUUGCAUUUCUUUGUCUUGACAGCUUUUUCUUUCCUUCCGUGACAUUGACAGAUUUAAAGAUCCCAGACCAGUAGUUGCCAACCUUCCCUGUGGUUUUGUUGGAUGAUACUCCAGUGACUAGAGUGAUGACAGACAUUUUCUUAAACAUCCUUGUCUUUUAAAAGACAAAACAUAAAACUCUUCCAUGACAUUGUGUACCUCGCCUUUUCUCCUGAACACUGCCACUUUAAGACCCUGCACUGUCAGCCCACAAAGCUUCCUCAUUCCUUUAUAUGGCUGCAUAGUAUUCCAUUGAAUGGGAUUAAUGUAAUUUAUUUAAACAGUCAUCUAGGGGAGGGCAUUUAGGUGGUUUCCAGUCUUUUGGGAUUUCAAACAAUGCUGCGGAAAUUACCUUGUAAAUGCAGCAUUUUCCUAUGAUAAUAUAUCUGUAGCAUAAAUCUCUAGAUACUGAAUUGCAGCCUUCAAACUUUAUGUGUUUGAUUUGGGUGUGAUUUCCAUGUAGUGAGAUGCAUAAGGUCUCAAGUGUUCAGUUUGGUUCACAGGGUGUUUCCCUUCUGUCACCCCAGAAAAUCCCCUCAAGCCCCUUCCCUGUCAAGCCCUCCACCCUGGGAGCUCCACAAACCAGGUUGUUCUAGAGCAUUGUGUAGAUGGCAUCAAACACCAUGGGUUUGCCUUUUGUGCGGAGGUGAAGUGAACUGUGUGUGUGUGUGUGUGUGUGUGUGUGUGUGUGUUGUGUGUGAUACUGGGGAUGGAACCCAGGGGUGCUCUCCCACUCACUUGGCUACAUCUCCAGCCCUUUUGUUUCUGGAGACAGGAUCUCCGUCUGUAGCUCAGGCUGCCCUCGAACACUCGGUCCUCUUGCCUCAGCCUCCUGAGUGCUGGGCUGACAGGUGUGUCUCACAACGCCCAGCAAAAUGAACCAUUUUAAAGUGAACAACUCUGGUCAGUAUGUUCACUGUGUGGUACAACUAUCGCCUGGGUAGGUCCAGAACAUUCCACCACCCCAGAGAAAGCCCAUGUCCAUUAAGCAGUUGCUUCCCAUUCCCUCGGUCUGGGCGUUUUAUAUCUGGCUUCUUUCACACAGCUAUUUUUUAGUAUUUAUUAUUUUGAAGUGCGUGGGAUUGAACCCAGGGCUUUCUCACUGAGCUGCAUUCCCAGCCCUUUUUAAUUUUCAUUUUGAGACAGGGACUCGCUGAAUAACCCAGGUUGGGCUCAGACGUGCGCUCCUCCUGCCUCAGCGUGUUUGUUAGUCUAGGCCAGUGGUGGCGAACCUGGGGCACACGUGCCGCAGUGGGCUGUUUGUUACCACUGAAAGCUCGAGAAAGGUUCGCCAUCACUGGUCUAGGCUAAGCCACCGUAACGGGGACCCAGAAGGACCAGGCCGAGCUCUCCCGCCACUGUCCAGAGGUCAAGCAGGGUGAGAGCGUGUCAGGGUGGUCACCGUCCCAGCCUGGCCCGUGCAGGGUGUGUAUUCUCUCACAGCUUCAUUUUGAUUUUACAGAGGUUGAAAGAAUAGGAAUAGUGCGAUGAUCACCUGCAUACCCUUUCUCUGGGUCCCCUGCUUCAUCGGUUCACCCUGUUGGUUUUAUGCUUUGUGUGCAUGCCUGCCUUCUCUCUGUGCCCAUGCACAUCACUGCAUAUGUCACGGCCACUUACUCAGCGUCCUUGAGCGUGUGUCACCUUAGAACAUGCUCUUCCUGUACCACAGGAAGUCGCCGACUUGAGCAAGCCUAACCUGAAUACAGUCCUGUCCGGUCUGCCACGGGGUAGACACAGUCACAUCAGCACACCUCACUGAAAGCGCUCCUGCUUCUGUUACUGGCUGCAGUUAAGGAAGCAACCAGAAAUACAGCCCCUGCAUGGCUCGUGCUUUGACUUGUCAGGCACAGUGGCUCCUGGGUUGGCGGAGGCCCCUGCAAAGGCCAUCGGAGGGACAGCUGGAGAAAUCGGGGCACGUACUGUAGCUGAUCCUUGCUUCUGGAGUCCACAUUAAAUGUCCUGUGCCAAUUUCAGGCCACGUCUUUGUCCCUAAGAACUCCAUCCUGAAGUAUCCCGUGAUCCACCUGCACUUCCUGCCGGCGUGGGAGGUGGGACACAGUGAGGACGCGGGGUGGGGACCCGGGACCGGUGCAUGGUCCUGUGAGUGAGGCCGUGCCCCACCGACAAGCCUUGGGUCUCAUCCUGUGGGAAGCCUCUGAGACGCAGCUGUGGGAUCCAGAGGUGUUUGCCUGAACCUAGGGUGGGGAAGGAUCCUGGUCCCCGGCAUGUGACAGGCACGGGGCACAGGAACUGGCCUGAGUGCUUCUCAGCCGCCCACUGGAGGGGAGGCUGAGCAGAUGGGAGUGGGCAGCGAGGGCAUCGGGGACAGAAGUUAAUGGGAAAUAAAGGGGUGAUGGGGAGGGGGCAGCCGACCAGGCACAGGAUGUGGGGCAUGGGUUAAGCUGGGGCUGUGUAGAGUGGGGGCCCCCUGUGCCAACCUGCAGAGCGUGCCGGGCGCCCACCAGCCCGCAGGUGGAGAGCCCUGCUGCGCUAGCGUGGGACCGUGAAGACUGGGAAAGAGGGUCUGGUCAGAGCCCCCUGAAGCCCCAACCUGCCCACAGGAUGGAUGGCAAGCGGCAGCAGGGCCCAGGGGCGGGGGGUGCCCCCAAAGCGGGCUCGAGGGGGGCCUCUGGGACGAGGAGCCUCCGCCGUCCCACUUCGAGGAGGACCUGGCGCUGCUGGAGGAGAUAGAAGCUGAGCACAGGUUGCGGGAGCAGGAGGAGGAGGCGCUGCAGCUGGCCGUGGAGCGGGCCACCGACGGGCAGCUCUCCACAGCCACUGACCCCGCUGGUUUCGGCCUCCCCCACCCCCGCUGGACCCUCAGACGGAGCCCCUCAUCUUCCAGCAGCUGGAGAUCGACCACUAUGUGGGUGAGUCGGGUGAGGCAGUGACCAGGGCUGUGAGAGAGAGGCACAGGGCGGGGGUGCCCGAGCAGGAGUGGGGGCGGCUCAUCUCCAUCUCCCCGUGCUGCAUACUCCACACAGCACCACGGAGGGGCCAGCAAGUCCAUCUGUAUGGACGCCUUGACAAAGAGCUGUGGUGACAGGACUGGGGAGCGCUGGUACACACGGGGCAGGAGGCUGUCCUGAGCCCCGGUGCUGUGGCAGUUGCCACAAUCAAUCUGUUAAUGUUCAUGACGUUAGACGUAUGUGCGCUGAUCAGUAGUCGUUUUACUUCUGGCAAAAAUGUCUUAUGCAGUAAUAAUAAGGAGGGAGCCAGGAGUGAUGGCUCACAGCUGUAAACCCCAGCACUCUGGGAGGCUGAGGCAGGAGGGUCUUAAAAGGGCUAGGGCUGCAGCUCAGUGGGAAGCCCUGGAUCCAGUCCCCAGUAGCACAAAGGAAGAAAAGUGGAGGGGCCCGUCCUGCUGAAGGCGGAGAAUGGCACCAGGGAAGCGAGUGAAUAAUGAGGUGGUGCAGGGACCGCCCAG